GGAGAAUUGGCCGAGUGGCUGAAGGCGCUCCCCUGCUAAGGGAGUACACCCUUAUACGGUGUCGAGAGUUCGAAUCUCUCAUUCUCCGCCA
rnacentral:tRNA from 1 species